AUUGAACGCUGGCGGCAGGCCUAACACAUGCAAGUCGAGCGAGCGGCGGACGGGUGAGGAAUAUCUGGGAAACUGCCCGAUGUAGGGGGAUAACAACUGGAAACGGUAGCUAAUACCGCAUACCCUCGGAUGUGCCCAGAUGGGAUUAGCUAGUAGGUGGGGUAACGGCUCACCUAGGCGACGAUCCCUAGCUGGUCUGAGAGGAUGACCAGCCACACUGGAACUGAGACACGGUCCAGACUCCUACGGGAGGCAGCAGUGGGGAAUAUUGCACAAUGGGCGCAAGCCUGAUGCAGCCAUGCCGCGUGUGUGAAGAAUGCCUUCGGGUUGUAAAGCACUUUCAGCGGGGAGGCGUUACCCGCAGAAGAAGCACCGGCUAACUCCGUGCCAGCAGCCGCGGUAAUUC
rnacentral:rRNA from 1 species